CACCACGCGACGUGCGGUGCU
rnacentral:siRNA from 1 species